CGUCAAUUCAGAAAAUUCCUAGUGUAUGUUGCCAAUUUUGAUGAGAAAGAUCCUCGGACCUUUGAGGGUAUUGAUCCUGUGAAGACAACGAUGUGGGAUGUGUACAAAAAGUUUGACAUGGGCCAAGACAUCAUAAAUUUUACUGGCCAUGUCCUAGCACUUUAUAGAACUGAUGACUAUUUAGAUCAGCCAUGUUGUGAAACCAUUGUCACUAUUAAACUUUACAGUGAGUCCUUGGCAAGAUAUGGCAAAAGCCCAUAUCUUUAUCUACCCUAUGGCCUUGGAGUACUGGCGCAAGGAUUUG